ensembl:snRNA Gm24086 predicted gene, 24086
GUGCUCACUUCGGCAGCACAUAUACUAAAAUUGGAAUGAUACAUCCUGGCCCCUGCUGCAAGGAUGGCAUGUAAAUUUGUGAAGCGUUUCAUAAAUUA